AAAGAGAAGCGACCUCGCGAGAGCAAGCGGACCUCAUAAAGUGCGUCGUAGUCCGGAUUGGAGUCUGCAACUCGACUCCAUGAAGUCGGAAUCGCUAGUAAUCGUGGAUCAGAAUGCCACGGUGAAUACGUUCCCGGGCCUUGUACACACCGCCCGUCACACCAUGGGAGUGGGUUGCAAAAGAAGUAGGUAGCUUAACCUUCGGGAGGGCGCUUACCACUUUGUGAUUCAUGACUGGGGUGAAGUCGUAACAAGGUAACCGUAGGGGAACC
rnacentral:rRNA from 1 species